rnacentral:rRNA from 1 species
AAAUUGAAGAGUUUGAUCAUGGCUCAGAUUGAACGCUGGCGGCAGGCCUAACACAUGCAAGUCGAGCGGAAACGACAACAUUGAAUCUUCGGAGGAUUUGUUGGGCGUCGAGCGGCGGACGGGUGAGUAAUGCCUAGGAAAUUGCCUUGAUGUGGGGGAUAACCAUUGGAAACGAUGGCUAAUACCGCAUAAUGCCUACGGGCCAAAGAGGGGGAUCUUCGGACCUCUCGCGUCAAGAUAUGCCUAGGUGGGAUUAGCUAGUUGGUGAGGUAAUGGCUCACCAAGGCGACGAUCCCUAGCUGGUCUGAGAGGAUGAUCAGCCACACUGGAACUGAGACACGGUCCAGACUCCUACGGGAGGCAGCAGUGGGGAAUAUUGCACAAUGGGCGAAAGCCUGAUGCAGCCAUGCCGCGUGUAUGAAGAAGGCCUUCGGGUUGUAAAGUACUUUCAGUUGUGAGGAAGGGGGUAACGUUAAUAGCGUUAUCUCUUGACGUUAGCAACAGAAGAAGCACCGGCUAACUCCGUGCCAGCAGCCGCGGUAAUACGGAGGGUGCGAGCGUUAAUCGGAAUUACUGGGCGUAAAGCGCAUGCAGGUGGUUCAUUAAGUCAGAUGUGAAAGCCCGGGGCUCAACCUCGGAACUGCAUUUGAAACUGGUGAACU